rnacentral:rRNA from 1 species
CGUAGGUGACCUGCGGAAGGAUCAUUACCGAGUGCGGGCCCUCUGGGUCCAACCUCCCAUCCGUGUCUAUCUGUACCCUGUUGCUUCGGCGUGGCCACGGCCCGCCGGAGACUAACAUUUGAACGCUGUCUGAAGUUUGCAGUCUGAGUUUUUAGUUAAACAAUCGUUAAAACUUUCAACAACGGAUCUCUUGGUUCCGGCAUCGAUGAAGAACGCAGCGAAAUGCGAUAAUUAAUGUGAAUUGCAGAAUUCAGUGAAUCAUCGAGUCUUUGAACGCACAUUGCGCCCCCUGGUAUUCCGGGGGGCAUGCCUGUCCGAGCGUCAUUGCUGCCCUCAAGCACGGCUUGUGUGUUGGGCUUCCGUCCCUGGCAACGGGGACGGGCCCAAAAGGCAGUGGCGGCACCAUGUCUGGUCCUCGAGCGUAUGGGGCUUUGUCACCCGCUCCCGUAGGUCCAGCUGGCAGCUAGCCUCGCAACCAAUCUUUUUAACCAGGUUGACCUCGGAUCAGGUAGGGAUACCCGCUGAACUUAAGCAUAUCAUA